rnacentral:tRNA from 1 species
GCCUCGAAAGCUUUGUGGUGAAGCAUUGGUCUUGUAAGUCAACGAAGGCAGAUGUCUUGAGGCU